UUGCCGCUUACCGACAUAUUUUCGCCGUCAUAACACCAAGAGAUGACCGUAUUUUGCCAGCGUAAACUAUGCGGUGCGUCUUCCGCAACAUGGUAGCCCAUUUCACCUUAGUUUAAGUACAUCGCAUCGGCUCGGUAAGUCUUAACGCGCGGUCGUCAUCACAUCUUUGGAAGUUGUCAACAAUACGAGGCUUUAUGUGUAAAACUGCGCGUUUUAUUGCGAGAUUAUCGGAUAAAAAUAAUUACCGUGAUCGAAAAACAUCCAAAACGUCGUCCAGAAACAACAACCGCAUUGUUUACAAACGGUUUGGCCGCCGAUCACGGGCGCCGCCAUCUUUAAGGUCACGUGUGCCUUGACGUUUGCUGUGACGUGCGACCAGGACCUGUCCAGGAUGCAUUGCGUUCGCCCAGCACGCUUUCGUCUACGGAGCAAUACAUUGGAUGCCACCCCUGUGUCCGGAACGGCAACAGUGGGGUAUCUAGUGGCGGCCUUCUUCGUUGCACGCUUUUCCGAGCUAGGUGCGAAAGCCGAGGUCCCUCUCCUAAAGCGGAAGCUGGAUGUGGUGGCAGUACAGUGCAGCCCCGGCGAGCAGACGACAAACAGCCAAAUUUAUGUCCACUUCACCGCGGAAACUUGAGUGCCUUGACACGAAACUUCAAUUGAAUGGUGUUCAGAGUCAACAUUUGCACUGCUGGACACCAUUCUGAAAAGGAAAAUUUUCUUCACCGACGUUAUACCGACCGUUUUCAUGCUAGUCCCAUAGGGCUCAAUGUAUUUGUUUCCAAGGAAGCAAAAAAAUGUAUAAAUUCAACCGUGUGCAGAAGAUGAAUUAAAAAGGUGUCAAUACCUA